UACGUAGGGGGCAAGCGUUGUCCGGAAUUAUUGGGCGUAAAGCGCGUGUAGGCGGCCAGAUAAGUCCGCUGUGAAAUCUCGAGGCUCAACUUCGAGCUGUCGGUGGAAACUGUCUGGCUAGAGGCCGGAAGAGGAGAAUGGAAUUCCUGGUGUAGCGGUGAAAUGCGCAGAUAUCAGGAAGAACACCCGUGGCGAAGGCGGUUCUCUGGGACGGUACUGACGCUGAGACGCGAAAGCGUGGGGAGCGAACAGG
rnacentral:rRNA from 1 species